UAAACGACACUCGACAACGGAUAUCUUGGCUCUCGCAUCGAUGAAGAACGUAGCGAAAUGCAAUACUUGGUGUGAAUUGCAGAAUUCGGUGAACGAUCGAGUCUUUGAACGCAAGUUGCACUUGAAGCCAUUUGUCCUAGGGCACGCCUGCCUGGGCAUCACUC
rnacentral:rRNA from 1 species